rnacentral:rRNA from 1 species
GGCUCUGAUUAUGCAGUGAACGACUUCGGGUUAUGGCGGACGGGUAGCGUAGAUCUGCCCUCAGAGGGGACACAGUUGGAAACGACUGCUAAUACCCAUAUGCCGCGAGUGAAAUGAAUUCGCCUGAGGAUAGCUCCGUCUGAUUAGCUAGUUGGUGUAUGUAAUGGCUCACCAAAGCAUCGAUCAGUAGCUGGUCUGAGAGGAUGAUCAGCCACACUGGGACUGAGACACUGGCCAGACUCCUACGGGAGGCAGCAGUGGGGAAUAUUCCGCAAUGGGCGAAAGCCUGACGGAGCAACCGCCGCGUGAGGGAUGAAAAGCUCUGGGCUUGUAAACUCUUUUAUCAAGGAAGAAGAUCCUGACGGUACUUGAUGAUUAAGCCACGGUUAUUCCCGUGCCACAGGCCGCGGUAUACCGGGAAGUGGCAACGGUAUCCGGAAUUAUUGGGCGGUAAGCGUCCGCAGGGGGCCUUAAGUAUGGUGGUAAAAGUUGAGGUUAC